CAGCUAUAUCACACUGAAACUCUGGUUCUCAUCCACUCACCAAAGUUAAGCAGUGUCAAGCUUGAUCAGUACCUAGAUCAGUGACCAUUUGGAAAUACCAGGUGCUGCAAG